AACGAACGCUGGCGGCAUGCCUAACACAUGCAAGUCGAACGAAGGCUUCGGCCUUAGUGGCGCACGGGUGCGUAACGCGUGGGAAUCUGCCCUUUGGUUCGGAAUAACAGCUGGAAACGGCUGCUAAUGCCGGAUGAUGACGAAAGUCCAAAGAUUUAUCGCCAGAGGAUGAGCCCGCGUUGGAUUAGGUAGUUGGUGGGUAAAGGCCUACCAAGCCGACGAUCCAUAGCUGGUCUGAGAGGAUGAUCAGCCACACUGGGACUGAGACACGGCCCAGACUCCUACGGGAGGCAGCAGUGGGGAAUAUUGGACAAUGGGCGCAAGCCUGAUCCAGCAAUGCCGCGUGAGUGAUGAAGGCCCUAGGGUUGUAAAGCUCUUUUACCCGGGAAGAUAAUGACUGUACCGGGAGAAUAAGCCCCGGCUAACUCCGUG
rnacentral:rRNA from 1 species